UUGUAUUUGUGUGAUUAAAGU
rnacentral:miRNA from 1 species